rnacentral:rRNA from 1 species
AGUGAACGCUGGCGGUAGGCCUAACACAUGCAAGUCGAACGGCAGCACAGUAAGAGCUUGCUCUUACGGGUGGCGAGUGGCGGACGGGUGAGGAAUACAUCGGAAUCUACUUUUUCGUGGGGGAUAACGUAGGGAAACCUACGCUAAUACCGCAUACGACCUACGGGUGAAAGCAGGGGAUCUUCGGACCUUGCGCGAUUGAAUGAGCCGAUGUCGGAUUAGCUAGUUGGCGGGGUAAAGGCCCACCAAGGCGACGAUCCGUAGCUGGUCUGAGAGGAUGAUCGGCCACACUGGAACGGAGACACGGUCCAGACGCCUACGGGAGGCAGCAGUGGGGAAUAUUGGACAAUGGGCGCAAGCCUGAUCCAGCCAUACCGCGUGGGUGAAGAAGGCCUUCGGGUUGUAAAGCCCUUUUGUUGGGAAAGAAAAGCAGCAGGUUAAUACCCCGCUGUUCUGACGGUACCCAAAGAAUAAGCACCGGCUAACUUCGUG